rnacentral:ncRNA from 1 species
GACCGAUGCAAAAUUCCCAGAUUUUCAAGCGGGUGCUGAAAGAGCCUAUACUGCUGUGGCGGCUGCUAUGGCCGGUGCCAACGUUGUCUACGAAUCU